GUGUGAUUGAACAAACAUAAAAUUAGGUGUAUGUAUUUAAAAAAAAAAGUAAAAAAAAAUAGGUGUAUGAGCAAAGAGAAGAAAAGAGCAUACAUGAAAUAAAUGGAGUAUUGUCAACAAAAAAAGAAAGAAAUGUUGUACUUACGGUAUCCAAAAAUAAUGGUUUAUUCUUUAAAAAAAAUGGUGUAAUUACAAUUAAUUGCUAGAGUUAAUAUAUUCUAUUUAGAGUAUGUUUUGAUAAUCUUGAUUUUCAUGUGCAGCAAAGGAAUAAGCCUUACCUUAACUAUUAUUAUCAAUUAAUCUUAGCCAUUAAUUGAAAUUAAAAUCAAAGGUCAAGAUUUGGAGUAAGUUAUAAAACUUACUCUUGGAGUCAAUAUAACCC
rnacentral:lncRNA from 1 species